UUCAGAAUGUUGAAAAAAAGUAGAAUUUUAUUAAAUUAGAUUCUAUUUUAUCAAAAUGUCAAGUUUCCAGGAUGAAGAACAUAAGUGCAAAACAGUUAUUUUAGACAAAUAUUUACAAAACAGGUAGCAUUCAGCCAAGUUGAAAUAAGGCAGCUGUUUCAUGUAUCGUGGCAUUUUUCAACACAUCUACAAAAACAUCCCCCACAUAUAAAACAUCUAGGUGAAAAGGACAGUUCAUUUCCCUAUGACAGCAUUUCACAUUUUAAAGGCCAUUUCAUAAUUUCCUUAUGAUAACAUUCAAUAGUUCAAUGGCAAUAAACACAUUUUACAAAACAACUUAAUACAAAAAGCUUAAAUUCAUAUUUAAAAAACAGCUUACCAAAAUUCAUCAAAGCUUUCUCUUGUAUUUACUCUGAGGGAAUACUUUAGACAAGGCAAGGCGGAAUACUGUAGGCAAGGGGAAUACUGUAGGCAAGGCGGAAUACUGUAGGCAAGGCAAGGCGGAAUACUGUAGGCAAGGCAAGGGGGAAUACUGUAGGCAAGGCAAGGGGGAAUACUGUAGGCAAGGCAAGGGGGAAUAGCGCAACACAAGGCAAGGAUACCAAACAUAGUUGAAUGGCAACCACUGAUAUACGCUGUUCAAUAGUGCAACCCCAUAGACUUGGAAGCCGUGCUGAUUGUUGUCAGCUGAUCUUAGUGUUGGCCAUUUCAGCAGGUUGGGCAUUUCAGCGGGUGUUCAUGGAACAAACCUGUGCUUCGCUGAGGCUUCUCUCCAGCUCCUGAAUACAAGGAUAGAUCAACUGACUGUGCAGCUGUGCCAUUUUAAACCUGAAGGAAAGAGUUAUAGAAAAGAAGAGUUGAAAGGAGCAGUAUUCCCACUGAUUUAUCUUCACAGGUAGAAAGGGCCUGACUUUCCCCUCCCACAAAAUAACUGUAGAAGCUACAGUGGCAAGAGAAAGUAUGUGAACCCUUUGGAAUUACCUGGGUUUCUGCAUAAAUUGGGCAUCAAAUUUGAUCUGAUCUUCAUCUAAGUCACAACAAUAGACAGUUUGC
rnacentral:lncRNA from 1 species